AACGAACGCUGGCGGCAGGCUUAACACAUGCAAGUCGAGCGCCCCGCAAGGGGAGCGGCAGACGGGUGAGUAACGCGUGGGAAUCUACCCAUCUCUACGGAAUAACGCAUGGAAACGUGUGCUAAUACCGUAUACGUCCUUCGGGAGAAAGAUUUAUCGGAGAGGGAUGAGCCCGCGUUGGAUUAGCUAGUUGGUGGGGUAAAGGCCUACCAAGGCGACGAUCCAUAGCUGGUCUGAGAGGAUGAUCAGCCACACUGGGACUGAGACACGGCCCAGACUCCUACGGGAGGAAGCAGUGGGGGAUAUUGGACAAUGGGCGCAAGCCUGAUCCAGCCAUGCCGCGUGAGUGAUGAAGGCCCUAGGGUUGUAAAGCUCUUUCACCGGUGAAGAUAAUGACGGUAACCGGAGAAGAAGCCCCGGCUAACUUCGUGCCAGCAGCCGCCGUAAGAC
rnacentral:rRNA from 1 species